AUGGGUUUGUCUGAGCUAAAGAAAUUUUUCACGGGGCAUAUACUAAUUGAGACAAAUUGUGCCACCAUUGGACGAGAGCUUCAAUCGGAAGGAGUGUGCAGAUCGUUGUGGUUUGCUGUGAUGACAGAUAUUAAAGAACAGAUCAAAAUCUUUGCAAGCGUGCAGAUUAACAUCGUAAAGCAGGAUCAAAACAAAUUGGCCCAUGAGAUUGCGGUGACGGCGAUAAGAUUGGGCGAUCACCUCCGUUUAACAGAUGUGCAUGAUAAUGUUAGACAAAUUCUAAUGUCAAAGUGUAUUCCCACCAAUGCAUAG
rnacentral:rRNA from 1 species